GACGUAGGGGGCAAGCGUUGUCCGGAAUCAUUGGGCGUAAAGCGCUCGUAGGUGGAUCGGUAAGUCUGCAAAGAAAGACCCGGGCUCAACUCGGGGAACGGUGUGGAUACUACCGAUCUUGAGGCAAUCAGAGGAUGAUGGAAUUCCCGGUGUAGCGGUGAAAUGCGUAGAUAUCGGGAAGAACACCCGUGGCGAAGGCGGCUCUCUGGGACGGUACUGACGCUGAGACGCGAAAGCGUGGGGAGCGAACAGG
rnacentral:rRNA from 1 species